UCCCUGGUGGUCUAGUGGUUAGGACUUGGUACUCUCACUGCCAUGGCCUGGGUUUGAUGCCUGGUCAGGGAA